rnacentral:rRNA from 1 species
UGCGUAGGCGGUUUGCCAAGUUGGUAGCGUAAUCCCGGGGGCUCAACCUCGGAACUACUACCAAAACUGGUAGGCUUGAGUGCGGCAGGGGUAUGUGGAAUUCCUAGUGUAGCGGUGGAAUGCGUAGAUAUUAGGAGGAACACCAGAGGCGAAAGCGACAUACUGGGCCGUAACUGACGCUGAGGCACGAAAGCGUGGGGAGCAAACA